GGACAGGUGCCAGAGUGGUUUAAUGGGCUCGCCUGGAAAGCGUGUAACGGCUUAAACCCGUUCGAGGGUUCGAAUCCCUCCCUGUCCG
rnacentral:tRNA from 1 species